UCCAUCUGCAGCUUCUCUUCGAUCAGUAAGCUGCAAUCCUUCGUCCUCGUCAGUUCAUCCGUUUGUUUUUCCGUCUUUUUAUUUUUAAAUAUUAUUAAUUCAUUAAUCAGUGCUUGAAAUCAAGGUGUUUUAAAGUAAUUAUUUAAUAUUCUUCUGAAAAUAAGUGAAAGUGAGUGAUUUUUCCAUAAAAUUUAUGAUUAAAAUCGGGUUUAUACGCGGCGCGUUAAACAAAAUGGCCGCAGGAGUCUCAAUUCAAUAUGUAACACCUUUUGUGUCAUAAAAAGGAUGAAUUUUAUAAUUAUUGAAAAAUUGGGAAUCACUAUUGAUAAAUCAUUUUUGCUUUAACAUCUUUAUUGGUGUACUUACACACACACACAUAGAGAGGAAAGCGUGGCGUUGCCAACCAAAUUAGUGCAAAGGAAACGAAGAUGUAGAAGAAGCAGAAGACGAACGAGAAGAGGAGAGGAGAGGAAGCGAAGGGAAAACGGAAAAUGUGGAAAACUGCCAACGCUGCAUUUAACAAUUUUAAUGGAUUUUUUCCCGUUGUCGAGGAAAUUGAAUCUUUAAACUUGACCCGCAGCUGAAGAUUUAACACACACAUCCAAACACACACACCCCCACACACACACAUAAUUAUAGCCUCCCCCCCCGUAAUGGCCAGGUCCUGGGGGCGUGGCAAAGGGCCCUUUAAAAAAUAUACAUAUCCCCCCCGCAAAUAGCAGGUGCAAGAACUGCUCAUCCAUCUCGCCUGCCGGGAAAUGCUGGAAAAUAAAACGGCUGGAGAUGAUUUCAAGCGGCUGGGAAAUUAAAAAGGAUUUUUUAAUUAAAACAAGUGCAUAAUCCUGUAACGAUAUUUUGAUGUGGCGAUGCGAGUAUUUGGCACCAGGGAUAUGGCACAGCCCACAGAUAUGUCACAUUUGUCUGGCCAACAAAUACUUCAUCAAAGUUUCGCAGGCAAACACUUGAAGUUUGGAUGCGAACGGGAGGAGGCCUUCCAUCUAUGUAGCUCCUGCGGUGAUUUUUCUAAGCUGUCAACUGCAACUGGUCCUGGAAAUGGACAUGGCCAAGUCAUCAUCAUCAGUAUCAGGAGAGAAGGGGCAGCAGCAGCAGCAGCAGCAGCAACAGCAACAGCAGCAGCAGCUAGCCAUCCAACCAGCAGAGAUACUAAUUGUCAUCCAUAAACCUCAGUGCCUUUGAGGAUAGUAAAAGCUGGGAGGCAGGAUGGCUCCUUCAAUUGGAUGGCAUUGCCGGUGGCGCAUCCUUGCGCUGCUUCCUUGAUUCCUUGGCCAUGCAAAUGAGUUGGAUUUAUGCAUCCCC